GAUGAACGCUGGCGGCGUGCCUAACACAUGCAAGUCGAACGGGAACAGAAUGAAACCUAGUGAUUUCUGUUUCAGUGGCGGACGGGUGAGUAACGCGUGGGUAACCUGCCUUGCACUGGGGGAUAACACUUAGAAAUAGGUGCUAAUACCGCAUAAGCGCACAGUACCGCAUGGUAGUGUGUGAAAAACUCCGGGGGUGCAAGAUGGACCCGCGUCUGAUUAGCCAGUUGGCGGGGUAACGGCCCACCAAAGCGACGAUCAGUAGCCGGCCUGAGAGGGUGAACGGCCACAUUGGGACUGAGACACGGCCCAA
rnacentral:rRNA from 1 species